rnacentral:sRNA from 1 species
AUUCACUCCCGGGGGCAGCACGGCCCAGCCGAGAGGACCCCCUCGGAGAUCCAGUUUCACCAGGUGAAAUUUGGCGCCCCACGCAGGAAGGAAACUGACCCGCUGAAUGAGCCGUGGGAGGAAGAGUGGACACUACUGGGAAAGGAAGAGCUGAGUGGGAGCCUGCUGCAGUCGGUCCAGGAGGCCUUGGAGGAAAGGAGUCUGACCAUUCGGUCAGCCUCAGAAUUCCAGGAGCUGGACUCCCCAGAUGAUACCAUGGGAACCAUCAAGCGGGCCCCGUUCCUAGGGCCACUCCCCCCUGAGCCUCCAGCAGAGGAGCCUCUGUCCAGUCCCCCAGGAACCGUGCCCCCACCUCCUUCAGGCCCCAAUAGCUCCCCACGGCUGCCCACGGCCUGGGCCACCAUGAAGCAGCGGGAGGAUCCUGAGGUGAGAGGGUGCUACAAGGGGGUGGGGAGACGGGCGGCUACAGCUGUCAUAUCAGCCCUGACUCCUUCCCUCCCUCCCAGAGGUCGUCCUGCCACGGGCUCCCCCCAACUCCCAAGGUGCAUAUGGGCGCCUGCUUCUCCAAGGUCUUCAAUGGCUGCCCCCUGCGGAUCCACGCUGCUGUCACCUGGAUUCACCCUGUUACUCGGGACCAGUUCCUGGUGGUAGGGGCUGAGGAAGGCAUCUACACACUCAACCUGCAUGAACUGCAUGAGGAUACGCUGGAGAAGGUGAGGCCCGGCUGGCUGUGGGGGGCAGAGGCCUUGGGGGGCCUGGGGUGCUGACCACCUGUCCCUCUGUGGCCUCCAGCUGAUUUCACAUCGCUGCUCCUGGCUCUACUGCGUGAACAACGUGCUGCUGUCACUCUCAGGGAAAUCCACGCACAUCUGGGCCCAUGACCUCCCAGGCCUGUUUGAGCAGCGGAGGCUACAGCAACAGGUUCCCCUCUCCAUCCCCACCAACCGCCUCACCCAGCGCAUCAUCCCCAGGCGCUUUGCUCUGUCCACCAAGAUUCCUGACACCAAAGGCUGCUUGCAGUGUCGUGUGGGUAAGAAAUGGGCUGGGCGGGGUGGGGCGGGGCCUGGUGGGGGGCAGCGCAGGCCCAGCCCAGUGCCCACUGCCCUGCUCCCCUGCCAGUGCGGAACCCCUACACGGGUGCCACCUUCCUGCUGGCUGCCCUGCCCACCAGCCUGCUCCUGCUGCAGUGGUACGAGCCGCUGCAGAAGUUCCUGCUGCUGAAGAACUUCUCCAGCCCUCUGCCCAGCCCAGCUGGGAUGCUGGAGCCGCUGGUGCUGGAUGGGAAGGAGCUGCCGCAGGUGUGUGUGGGGGCUGAGGGGCCUGAGGGGCCCGGCUGCCGCGUCCUGUUCCAUGUCCUGCCCCUGGAGGCUGGCCUGACGCCCGACAUCCUCAUCCCACCUGAGGGGAUCCCAGGCUCGGCCCAGCAGGUGAUCCAGGUGGACAGGGACACAAUCCUAGUCAGCUUUGAACGCUGUGUGAGGAUUGUCAACAUGCAGGGCGAGCCCACGGCCACACUGGCACCUGAGUUGACCUUUGAUUUCCCCAUCGAGACUGUGGUGUGCCUGCAGGACAGCGUGCUGGCCUUCUGGAGCCAUGGGAUGCAAGGCCGAAGCCUGGAUACCAACGAG